CCUGGUUGAUUCUACUAAUAGUUAUAUACUUGUUUUAAAGAUUAAGCCAUGCAUAUCUAAGUAUAAACAAGUUUGUACUGUGAAACUGUGAAUGGCUUAUUAAAUCAGUUAUAGUUUAUUUAAUAAUACCUUGCUAUAUGAAUAACUGUGGUAAUUCUAGAGCUAAUACAUACAAUUAAGUCCUGACUUCUAAAAGGAGUGUAUUUAUUAGAUAAAAAACAAUGUGGUUUGCUGCUUUUUUGGUGAUUUAUAAUAACUUUUUAAAUUGUAUGGCCUUGUGCCAGUAAUACUUCAUUUAAAUAUCUGCCCUAUUAACUUUUGAUAGUAGGAUAGAGGCUUACUAUAGUUUCAAUAGGUAAUGGAGAAUAAGAUUUUGAUUCUAGAGAGAGAGCCUGAAAAAUGGCUACCACAUCUAAGAAAGACAGCAGAUGCAUAAAUUACCUAAUCCUGACAUAAGAAAGUAGUAAUAAUAAAUAACAAUAUAGGGCUCUUUUAGGUCUUAUAAUUGGAGUGAGUAUAAUUUAAAUCUCUUAAUGAGGAACAAUUGGAAGACAAGUCUAAUACUAGCAGCUAUAGUAAUUCCAGCUCCAAUAGUAUAUAUUAAAGUUGUUAUAGUUAAAAAGCUCAUAGUUGAACUCCAGACCUAACUAGAUAGUUUACUUAAUAGCAUGUACUGCUUAGCUAAGCCUUAUUUCUUGGUGAGCUAGCAUGCCUUUUAUUAGUGUGUGUUGGGAAACUAGAACUUUUAUCUUGAGAAAAUUAGAGUGUUCAAAACAGGCCUAUGCCUGAAUACAUUAGUAUAAAAUAAUAAAAUAGGAUAUGUAGUUCUAUUUUAUUAGUUUCUAGAACUGCUAUAAUAAUUAAUAGAGACAGUUGGGAGCAUUAGUAUUAAGUCAUUAGAGAUGAAAUUCUUGGAUUGACUCAAGACCAACUAUUACAAAAGUAUUUGCCAAGAAUGUUUUCAUUAAUCAAGAAUAAAUGUUAGAAAAUCAAAAACAAUCAAAUACUAUUAUAGUCUUAAUAGUAAACUAUGCUGACUAGGGAUCAGAUGAUCUCAAAAUUGAUGUGUCAUUUAGCAUCUUAUAAGAAAUCAAAGUCUUUGAGUUCUAGAGGGAGUAUAGUUACAAGGUUAAAACUUAAAGAAAUUGACAGAAGGACAUCACCAGAUAUAGAGUCUGUAGCUUAAUUUGAUUUAACAUAGGGAAAUUCACCAGGUCCAGAUAUAACUAGAAUUAACAGAUUGAUAGCUCUUUCUAUUUUAUGGGUAGUAGUAUAUAGCUAUUUUUAGUUGAUAGAGUGAUUUGUUUAGUUAAUUCUAAUAAUAAAUAAAACCUUAACCUAUUAAAUAGCCAGGCUAGUUUUAGCUGGUCUCUGGCUUCUUAAAAAAACUAUUAAUAUCUAGUUAAUAGAAGUUUGAAGCAAUAACAGAUCUAUAAUACCCUUAGAUAUUCUAGGCCACAUAUAUACUAUACUAACAGAGCUAGCAAAUUUCUAGAAGAUCUGGAUAAUCUUGUGAAACUCUAUUAUGCUGGAGAUAGAACAUUACAAUUAUUGCUCUUUGUUAUAUAUAAGUCCAUCUAUUCAGAAAAUACAUCUUUAUAGUGAUAUUGUUUUUCCAAAAUGUUCACUAUACAAGUCUGUCUUUUAUGGUAGCCAC
rnacentral:rRNA from 1 species